CCAGACUCCUACGGGAGGCAGCAGUGAGGAAUAUUGGUCAAUGGGCGCGAGCCUGAAUCAGCCAAGUCGCGUGAGGGAUGACGGUCCUACGGAUUGUAAACCUCUUUUGCCGGGGAGCAAGCGUGCGUUCGUGAACGCGCGUCGAGAGUACCCGGAGAAAAAGCAUCGGCUAACUCCGUGCCAGCAGCCGCGGUAAUACGGAGGAUGCGAGCGUUAUCCGGAUUUAUUGGGUUUAAAGGGUGCGUAGGCGGGAGGCCAAGUCAGCGGUAAAAAUGCGGUGCUCAACGCCGUCGAGCCGUUGAAACUGGCUGUCUUGAGAUGUCGAGAGGUAUGCGGAAUGCGCAGUGUAGCGGUGAAAUGCUUAGAUAUUGCGCAGAACUCCGAUUGCGAAGGCAGCAUACCGGCGGCGAUCUGACGCUGAGGCACGAAAGCGUGGGUAUCGAACAGGAUUAGAUACCCUAGUAACU
rnacentral:rRNA from 1 species